CGGGGGAGGCCGGGUCCUGGGCUGUGCCCCGGCGGCCUGAGCUCCAGAGCCUGUGCUGUUGGAUUCGCGGUCCCGGGGCCCCGCACCCCCCU
rfam:Canis lupus familiaris chromosome 29, whole genome shotgun sequence.